rnacentral:ncRNA from 1 species
AAUUGCAUUUUAAACCUCUCUGCAAUUGCGGCUG